UAUCCUUUCAAAUUUUCUGAUAGUUAAUAUUUUUGGUUAUUCGAUUUUCGCAGGUCAAUGAGUUGAGGACUUAAAACACCAAACAGUCUUUGAACGAUUGGCGUUUUAACAUCAAUGGUUAUGAGCACAGAUUCGAUCCAUUAGUUGCAAAACGGCAAAAGAAGCACGAAGAAAUGGUUGUUAACAAUAUCAAACAACCCAAGUAGCAAUUGCAAUAAAUUCUGGAGGGACCAUUGGAAGAAUCAGAUGAGUCAUCACUCGGAUUUAUUAAACAAACUGUCCCAUUUCGACAGCUUGUAUGAAUUUUUAAUUAAUAAAAGAGUUGGGCAUUAGUUCCAAGACAAAUAUGAGAAAAAUACGAAUUGGAACUCAAAUUAGUUGGA